ACAUACCUCAAACCCUUUUGGGGUGGUUGGACAGAGGCCCUUCGAAACAGCUCGACAGUUCAAAAUCUUUCAUACUUUACCACCGCUCUACUUUUUUUUCUUUUUGCUUAACCAUCAAGGUAAUCUUCAUCAACUUUUUCUUUCCAUCAAUUCUGGUUUCACAAAAAUGUCAUUUUCUGGUCGGUUUGACUUCUGACCCAAUUUUUGACAUUUGUAAAGUGUCAGAAACAUAAAACCCAAUCUACAAAUUCGAAACUACAAAGUGUAAAAGCAAACAUGCCAUUGUUCUUUCCAACUUCAAAUCACUUGCAACCACACAAUCAAUCAAUGAAUACUCAAAGCAACAAGUUUCAAUUAACGCCUCAAGGAGAACGUACGAAUCGACAACCAUACAUCAUCAACCAUAGAAAAACAAACAAUAACAACAGCAUACAAAAUAUCUGUUAUAGAUCAUGACAACACUCCUCGAAUAAUACAAACUAAAACAAACACAAAACACACAUACAACUUCAAGAAAACCGCUGGAAGAAAGGCGUCACCUUCCCUUUGCCUGAAUGACUUGCCUCUUUGUUUCAUCCUCCCCUAAUCAAUCGAUCAAAAACAAUUGAACCAAGAAGGUUGUUCUUCGCAUUCCGUAGCCAAAAACGAGCUUCAGCCCCCAUAUGCCUUCUUCUUCUUCUUCUUCUUCUUCUUUGGCGACAUGUUUGACUCACAGAGAGCCGAUGGUGAUCUCUUCUUACGCCAGUCAAGUGAAUAUAUAUAACACGGCGGUCGCGGUUGGUAAUUUAGUGAAAAGUAGAAAGAGACCGAUGUCUAUAAUGGAAUUCUCCUAAUGGUCCCCCUUGUCUUUAUUCUCAAAAUUAGCCUUAUAAUCAUGCACCACUAAACUAACAAACAAAUAUAUAUAUAUAUAUANNAUAUAUAAGGAAAUCAUUACAUAUAAAUAGAAACACUAUAUUAAAUCUCAAUAGUGCGUAUUAUAAAAGAUGCAAUGCGCUGGACAUUUAUGUCGAAUUCUCGAAUUAGUUUGUAGAGGUUGUUUGGUAGAAAUUUGAUGAUUUAGUGUUGAACGGCUUACUGAAUGAUUUAGUAGUGUUUGCUAAGGUUGCUAAAUGGAUGUGAUAAAUGGUUUUAACCUUCUAACAAAAACCAUACUAAGAACUUAAAAGUAUGAUUAAACUAAAAUACCUUCAAGAAUCAUUCUAAACUGUAGUGGAUCAAGAAUUAAUUCUUAACAACUUUGUGAUUCAAAAAUAUAAUUAAUAUAUGUGUCGUGUGUUGGAAUGAAUUAAAUUACAUUUUAGUUUUUGUGAUUUCUUGUUUUGUUUUAAGAUGUAUAUUUGGAACAUUACUUGUAGGGAAGUUAUAAACGAAUUAUAAAAUCAUUUGAUUUUAAGUUGUAAAGGUAGUAAAUAUCAAAAUGAGUAGAAAAUACGAUAAAAGUUAAUGUGUUCGUGUUCAUUUGAUAAUUCCGUUAAACUAAACAAACAAAUAUAAAUAAACCUUGUUUCUGUCACUUUGGUUGUUUACAGCUCUAAUACCACACUUCAAAAUGUCAUAUUUGUUUUCUAAGAAACUCAUGUCUUCAAAUUAAAUACUAGUCAAAAUAUACUUACGCAAUGAAAUGCCUAAUGAGAAUACUCGACGUUGAUUCAUUUUAAAUAUAUAAAUAUAACAAUAUAUACUUAGGCAAUGGAAUGUCUAAUGAGAAUAGUCGACGUUCAUUAUUUUAAAUAUAUAAAUAUAACUAUAGUUAUACUAAUAGUUAUACUCGAAUCAAACCUUUAAAAUCAAUUUUACAUCAAUAUAAAAGAUUUAAUAAUCUCAAGGUUUGGUACUAUAUGAAUCCACAUAAAGUUAACGGGGUUUCAUAACCAAAAUCAAGGAUACAAAAAUCCGUAAAUUCAAAUGAAAAGGUCAUGAUGACAUAAAAUUCAAAGCCAAAGGUUUAAUGAUCCACAAUACAAGGCAUAUGACAAAAGGGUUUUGUAGCCGUAAUCCAUAAUAUAUGUUUUAACUCGUAAUCCAAAAGAAAAUGUUUAAAUAAUUCAUAGUCCAAACAAAAUAGUUUCCGAAGUCAUGAAUAGUAUGCAUAAUAUAUUAUUUUCAGCCCUUUUCAAAACUAAUUAAAAACAUGGACUAAUGAAUAAUAUGUAUUUAAGAUUUAAGAUAUUAUAAUCAUUCAGGAGAAAAUAUUGAAUACAAUCAAAUAACCUCUGAAAUUAGGUCUAUUGAAAUUACUUACUUCAAAAACUAAAAGAAAUAAAAAAAAAAGGAAAAGUUCGUUAAAGUUGAUAUUAGCAACAAAAUGGAGGAGAAUAAUAAAAGGUGAAUAUAGAUGUGUAAGUAGUUUGGACCACCAAACUCAGCAUAAUAAUUAUCCAAUGGAAGAAUCUUGAUGGGUGUCUUAACCAAUUUAUUAGUGGGACGACACAUGUUUUCUAAUACCCAAAUCUACUAAAGAUUUAGACAUAUAUUACUUUCCAUUAAAAAAGAAGGGAGAAACAUAUAACUUAAUUGUUGGGAUCAUAUGAAUUCAAUAAUAGACGUAUCACUAUUUAGUUUUACAACUUUUUUGAGUGUUAAAUCUAAAAAUAUUUUGAAAUUAAAUAUCUUUCUAUAUUUCUUCUUAUAUAUCCUUCUAUUCAUCUUAAAUGGUAACAUGUGUAUUAAAAUAUUAUUAUAUUCAUUAAAUAGGACGUAUGUCAUCAUUUAAGAUGAAUAUGAUGAUAUGGAAGAAAUUGUAGGAGAAUAUUUAAUUUCUCUUUUUAAUAAGGGAUAAUUACUUAAAAUAAUAGAGAAAUUAAAUAUCAUCCUACAUUUUCUUCAUACUAUCUUCAUAUUCAUAUUAAAUUGUGAUAAGUGUACCAAAAUAUUAUCAGUUCAUUAAAUAUGUCAUUAAAUGUGAUACAUGUCAAAAUUUCAUAUGGUAAAGGAUAAGUAGGAACAAAAUGUAGGAGAAUAUUUAAUUUCUCAAAAUGAUAAUAUAUUAUUUGAUUUGUAUAUUGAGUUUUUUUUUUUGUCCAUACUUUUCUAUUUAACUUGAUGAAUUGCUCAAAAAAACAUUUUUAUGACAUGUUAUCGGAUGUUUAGCCGGUUUCCGACAUAUUUGCCAUCUCCAACGAGACUGCAGUCAUCAUCUCUGGCCAGAUAUCUAAAAUAAUUUAAUUCUUGAUUUUUAAAUCAAGAACACACAUACACACACAAUGUUGUCUAUUUUCAAGAACAUAAGUCCAUAAGUUGUUUGGGCUCUUUAUAUUGUUGUCUCUUUCAGAUCUGAUGAAGAAUACACAUUGCUGUCUAUUUUCAGAUAUGGUUUAGCUGGUUUCUGGUUUGUGUAUGUGUUCUUUAGAUUUUGAUUUUUGGAUAAAGAACACACACAUCAUAUAUGGUUUUCGUCUUGAUUUAUGGCAUAUUUUGUUUCGAUUUAUGAAGCCAUAACUCAAAUCCAAACACACACACACAUACACGAAUCUAAAAUUGAGUUCAUACAAGAAACCUGGGAUUUCUGGGUUUCUGAUGAUGAAUCUGAAAUGGAGUUCGUACAAGAAAUCGAGCUUUGGGAUUUUUGUGUUUCAAAUUAAGAACUUGUUUUGGUCAAAAAUUACACUAGUACUAAUCAACCAAAUUGAAUGAGAGGUUGUGAUGUUCAGAUUGUGUAAUAGCAAAUGGUAAAAGAAAGUGACACAAUGGUUUACAAGGAUAACCAUUGAUCCUUGCUAGGAUUUCCGACAUAAAACAUUGGGAUGUGAUAAUUAUCACCUACCUUGAUGCUUUUAUUGAUAUAAAAUGAUGAUUAUAGUGAAUUCUUAGUAAGAAUGAGUAAAGAAUUUCAUAGAGUAAGCUUAGACUAAAGAACAAUGUGUUGUGUACAGAAUACAAGUGUCAAUUUAUAGUCUAAACUAGCCAACAAGAUGUCCGAUAUUUCCGGGAUCCUCUAUGACCAGCUUCAUGAACGUUAUUUGACCAAGUAUUUCGGGUCUUUAGCAUUGUUGAGAUGAUUCUUCGUUGAUAAUUGGUCUUCCCUUGACUACUUCUGCACACGUGUUAGUUAUAGUCAAAAUAUGACCGUUAUAAAUAUUAAUAAAAAUAAUAACGGUAAUUAGCCGGGAUCUUGAGGUAGCUGAGGAUCUUGGAUAUUUGAGGAUCUUGAAUAUUGUAAGGAUCCUGGUCCUAACAUAACUCACAACGAGUCGUACUUAUUUAUGUACUGAGUUUUCAGAUUUUUCAUGGAUCAUCAUGUUUUACAUAUCGUGUUCUUGAAUUCGAAGUUUGGUCCAUCGUGUUUUGAAAUCAGAGUGUUGUUCCAGAUCUGAUGUCCAUAGGUCUUCAACCUAGAACCCAUAUCUAAUGUUAGAGCAUGAACACAUACAUGUGAAGACUUAUGGAAAUCGUUUGAUUUUUGGGAAGAAGAUGAACACUAUGAAGAUCUACAAACCUUGAAGAUCAUUUAAUUUGUGGAAAUAAAAUGAACACACACAUACAUCGAUUUUUGUUCAAGAACACACACAUCGAUUUAUGUUCAAGAACUCACACAUGCUGUCAAGACUUAAACAAGAACAAGAUGCUUUAACUGAUUUUAACUACCCAGAUCUGAUAUGUGUAUGUGUGUUCUUGAGUUUUUUAUUUGAAAUUGAAAUAUGGUGUGAUGUGUAUGUGUUCUUAAGUUGAUCUGAAAAUUGAAAUGUAACGCCUCAUUUUCUCCUAACAAGUAUAAACGACUGAUUACAUAAAAUAGAUAUUUUGAUAGAAGACUGUUUAGGAUAAAUAGUCAUGAUAAAAGUUGUAGUAGUCAUAAAAGUGAGAGCAUGCAUAUAGAGAACGUCCAAUUUUGACUUCUUUUGAGGAAGUUAUGAUUUUCAGAAACUUCAACAUAGCAGUGUACGACACAUUAACUGAAAUGGAGAUCGGUCGAUUGUUGGGAAAAACCAUCUAAACGAGAGUUGAAGAUCUCGUCAAUAUAAUUAUGUCGAUAUAAAGACAGUUGAGAACAUAAUUCAUAUGAGAGCAUUAUAAUUUUUAUACGGGCUUUAAUAGUCUAAGCCUGUUAAAAACAAAGAUUUAAAAAUAAAGUGAGUAUUAGCCGACAGAGUAUAAAUGAAAGUUGUAUAUCUCGUUGAUAGCUAAGUGUGGAUAAAGAACGUCGAAAAUGGAGUCCGUAUGAAGAAGUUACAAAAUUUACAAAAAUCUGAAAAUCACACGCGUACGCGCGGCGCGCAAAGACAGCCCAACGCGGCCCACCAUGUUUUUGCUACGUGUCACCCUCUAAUUGAAGUCACAUGACCAACCCUGACAAGAUGCACGAUGCGUAUCUGCGGUGCACAGCGUGCACCCCAACUAUAAAUAGAUGUCUUCGGUUCCUUUCAUUUCUCACUCUUUCCUUACGCUCUCUCCACUCCAAACUCUCUGGAGACCACCUAGCCCUCGACUCCGACCUUUUUGGGUUUUUGGAGUGCUUUAGCAAAGCUCUGAGUUAGUGGCUUGGGCAAAUAAAAGUGUUCAGUAUCAAAUCCCGACCUGCGAUGUAACAUCCCGAUGACAAGGAACUUCUAAUUUUUUACCCUAUAAUUUUAUUAUAUUGUAAUUUGGACCCUAAGUGAAAGAAAGCGUGAAAUAAGACGCUAGUGGUAUUUUCGUAAUAUUGGGUGCUGAGGGAGUACGCCAUAGUAUGCUAGGCUUACAUAUGUAGGCAGGGCGUACAUGUCAGACAUCCAGGAUCACACCACCUUUUGUUUAACAUCCCAAAAAUUCAACAAAUUUAAAACUUUUCAAAACAACCCUUUUACUAAUAGAAGUGUUACAAAAGCAUUGUUUUCAAAACAUUAUUUAAAAUCAGAGUCUCCCAAGAUCAAAUCUAUCGAAAACCAAGGAUGUGUACGGUCAUGCCUUUGCCUUGCCACAGUCCACUAAAGUACCUGAAACCAUAAACCAAAAACUUUAAGCAUGAAGCUUAGUGAGUUCCCCCAAAUUACCACCAUAUAAAUAGAUAACAUAAACAACAAGCAUGCUCAAAUACUCAUGCAUGGCCCAAUCAACCUCGAGCUGGAAUACCAGACAUGUCUACGAUAGGACCAGUCAUCCUUGGGAUGGAAUACCCUAGUAUCAUAAGCAUGUUGGUCCAAUCAACAAUUGGUUUGGAAUACCAAACAUGUCGGGUCUAAUCAACCAUUAGAUUGGAAUACCCCAGGCCUAUUGACUAAAGCACAAAGCAGUCCACUCUCACCAAAAACCAUACAAUCAUGUCGGGUCUAAUCAACCAUCGGGUUGGAAUAUCGCAGGCCUAUUGACUGAUGCACAAAGCAGUCCAGUCUCACCAUACACCAUACAAUCAUGUCGGGUCUAAUCAACCAUCAGGUUGGAAUACCCCAGGCCUAAUCAACCAUCGGGUUGGAAUGCUAAUAUACCACGGGUCCAUUCAUCCUCGUGAUGGAAUACCCUCGGGCCCAAUUAACCAUCAGGUUAGAAUGCCCCUUGGUCUAUUGGUUCCCGUAUAUAGCAGUAAAACCUCAACCACCAACCAACAUAUAACUAAUCACAAACAAUCGGGUAGAUCUAUAGAUCACUAAGCAUAACAUCAUCCUAUAUAUCAGGAUAUCGAUCUAACAGAUCUCUACAACACAGUAACAUACUAUCCCAUGACAUGAUAUCUAAUCCAAAGAGUCGGCCUUGGUGCCUUCGACCCAUAAGUAUAAUGAGGAAAACUCACCUCCUGAUCUGAUCCAUAGAUGAUGAGGUCCCGACUCCGAAUCCCAAAUCCAACAAACACCUAUCCAUCCAAGUGACCUGUCACACCCCAAAACCAUGAACGGCGAAAACGUUCUGGGGAGGAGGACGUCAUGUACAGUAUCACAUCAAUGAAAAGUAGUAAACAAGCAACAACAUCAUCCAUUGCAUUAAUAAUAUAAUUUUUAAUACAAGUGUGUUCUGUCAAAUUAGGAUAAACACUAGAGUAUAAAUCAAAAUGAAAGAUGAGUCUUGAACGAGCACCAUCUUCUCUAAACCUUGCAUCGGUACUUGUCUACUGUUGACCUGAGGAUACAAGUUAUUUUGAAAGAGAGUAUCAACUUUAAAGCUGGUGAGAUCAUAAGUAUUUUAGUGUCUUAAUUUGUAUGUAAGUAUUUGUAUGUAUGUGAAAUGUAAGUAUUUGUAUGUAUAUGAACUGUAAGUAUGAAACGUUUUGAACAUCCUAGAAAACCAUAUGUUUCCUACUAAAAGUAUCUUUCUACCAAGGCAUCCAAUAUCUGUGUGUGUGUCUCUUGUAAGAGUGUGUAUUUUCCCAAAUCCGACUAUCAUUAUUCAAAAUAUAGCUUCUACAUUACCGUGCAUCGUGUGAAUGUUCACGAAGUGAAUGUAAUGGGAAAAUGAAAUAGUACUAUGGUGUAGUAUCAAAUAACUACAACCGUACUAACUACCUUUAACCUAUUGUAAUCUCGUAAGUACUGUAGUAUUUGUAAUAAGUGACUACUUUUGUACUAAUAUUGCCUUAUUUGAGGGAUAAGGCAUAAUGUGAUGGCUAGAUCCCAGGCUAGACGCUCCCCUGUCAAAGAGAUUUUGGGACCCAUACACGACCCCUGCAUGUUUGCAAGCCGUGAACAUCCACAUUACUAUGAUCACGUAUACCCAAUAUAACUAUCACAAUGCGUUGUGAUUCAUUGUUAUAGUUAGAUCCUGAAAUCGAUCCAUGCUAUAGCACCUAGUGAUGUCUGUCUUAUUAUCAUAUAUGUAAACGCACUCAUGUAAACGUACUCAUGUAAGCGUAAUCAUCUAAAUGUAAUCAUGUAAACGUAAUCAUGUAAACGUAUAGUAGUGUAUUGUAAUGUUCUGCGUGUGCUAGCUAUAACAUGUGUUCUCUCUCUAUCUAGCAUGUGUAGUAAUGUAAUGUGUGUACUAGCUGUAAUGUGUGUUCUCUCUCUAUCUAGCAUGUAUAGUAAUGUACUGUGUGUACUCGCUGUAAUGUGUGUUCUCUCUCUAUCUAGCAUGUAUAGACUCAUGAAUGAACUGACUCGUGGUAUGAUUCCGCAUUCUAGUAAACGUAUUAGUAUCUUCCUAAACUACCCAUAUGGUAGCUUACUAGUAAUAUAACUGGUACGUAUGAACAUGGAAGUAUACCCUUGCUACCCAAGGGUAUUGAAUGGACUGGAAGAACCUUUAUGACUAUAUAUGUACACAUGAUAUAUAAUUAAUAGUUAAAUGACCUUCAGACGGAUACCCGAUACCCCACCAGACCACAUCCCAACGGAGAAAAGGAAAUAAGGUGGGUUAGCCUUCCUAAGCCCUUCAAACAUUACUUAUAUAACUAUACAUAUCUAGGCAUGCAAUUGACAAUAUAAAAGCAUAAAAUAAUUUUUGUAACACCUUUGAACAUGAUUACUAUCUAAGAAAAGGUCGACUUGAUGUCGGCCUAUAAAACGGAUUGAAAGUAUUUGUUUGAUAAAACAGUUUAAGUAUAAAGAAACAUUUAUUUGAAACACAAUUGUAAAUAAGUUUGAAAUGAAACAUACAGUGUAUAAUGAACAGUUUAAUUAGGAGUUUUAAACAUAUAAAACGUUUAUGAAAAUCAUAUGAAGAAAACUGUUCGGUAGAACAGCUAAUGAGUAGUAAAUCAUUUGAAUGCUGCUUAUUAAUCACAUGUGAUUGAUAUAAUAACUAGCAUGAUUCUACUUGUAUCCGCCCAUAAAACAUUUAAAAACAUUUAAAACAUUGAUUAAGGGGUAUGAACUCGCCUGUAGCAAGUGGUUGGGAUAAACGGACCGAAAUAGGAAGCUAGGUGUCAAGUGAAGACUUGUACACACUCUAUGAUCAAGUUAGAAGCUUGAAAAGGUGCUAAGGGCCCAAGAACACUAGUGUGUGUUCUUGGUGUUCUUGGUGUUUUGGAAAUUAGAUUGAAGAUAUUGAAUAAAAACUUGGAUGAUGCUUGAGAGAGUUUUGGAGUUUACUCUUGAGAGUGAAAGUAAAAGGUGAUGAGUUUAGGGAGUAAACUCAUGCUUAAGGCAUGAGUUUACGGUUUUUAAGGGAGUUUACAGCCCAAACAUAAAAGUUUGGCCGUGAACUUCUAAGCUACGUGGUAUUCGCGGUUUUGAAAUUUCAAGACUCGAGACGGCAUUUCCUUUCACCCGUUCGUUUAAAGAUUAAUUAUUAAAAUAAUCAAACAAACUUUAAAUUUGUUAAAAACAAAUGCAAGUGAACUUGACUUAUAAUUUGAAAUGAUUGACUCUAGGGUUUUACUGAAUGAAGAUUCCGGGUUGUCACAUCAUCCCCCUGUUAGAAGGAAUUUUGUCCCCAAAUUAGAACUUAGGUAAGGAAGCAGGCAUGAAUUAUCAAGCCAUGAAGUGGGGAUACUUCCUAAUCGAUUGAUUCUCGCGCUCCCAAGUGAAUUCGGGUCCCUGUUUGGCAUUUCAGCGAACCUUCACUUAAAGGGAAACGACUAUGAAUCGUUUGUAUGACCUCUCGGUCCAUGGUCACCACAGUUCUUCCACGUAGGUGAGGCUCUUGUGGGACUCGAUCUCUUUGAGUGGGAUUUCAAGAGUCUCGCCAGCUCGAUACUUUUUACAAGUUCGAGAUGUGAAGGGUAGAAUGUACGUUACUAAGCUCGCAGAGUAGGUCUAGUAUGUGAGAUAUAGGACCGAUUCCGGUAAGAAUCUCGGAGGUCCUGACUAUCUUGGAUUUAGCUUUCCACGUGUUACGAAGCGUAUUAAGCCAUUCCCAAAGUGAGAUUUCUUAAAGAAAUUGGUCUCUCACUUGGAAUUUCAAGGUUUCUUUCUCUUGCUUAUCUUCCCAGUCGAGGGCCACCCUAUUCUGGGUCAAAUUCGUAAGGGUUUCUGUGAUUUGCAAGGAGUUCUGAAUGGACUACGAUAGUAGGUCUGCAAGACCUAGAAUUUGGCGAAUUUCUGUUGGCGGCUUUGGUGCCAACAAAUUCCCAACGGUUUUGGAUAAAUUGACAGAGUACUCAAGAAUUUCCACAUCACUAAUAGUGUGUCUUAGGAAUUUGACUCUUCAAUUCCAAAACUCGUGUUUAGAGAACUUCACAAAAAGUUUCUUUGAGGGUAAUGUUUCCAUGGGUUCCUUCUUACUACGAGGGUAGACAAGUAAGUCAUUUCAAAGAGAAUGACGAACUAAUCCAAGUAAGAAUGGAGUACUCUACCCAUUAAGCUCAUGAAUGCUAUGGGCGUAUUGGUCCUAUCCGAGGGGUAUCACUACGGACUCGAAGUGUCCGCAUUGAGUUCGGAAGGUAGUCUUUAGAACAUCCUUUCCUAACACUCGAAACUAUUGAUAUUCGGAUCUUGGUCCAUUCCUGAAAGGUAAAUCGUUCCUUGCGUUUUCUUAUCCCACACAUUCAUGCGAGGCAGAGAUAAUGAUUUCUAAUGGAAUUCUUGACGGAGUCCUCUAUAGCCGAGGUACAUGUGAUGCAAUCCGUCCGCUUCUAGAAGAAUAAGACCGGAGCUCUCCAGGGUGAGAAGCUUGGCAUUUCAAUUCUAUUGUUGAGUAGUUCUCUAAGUUGUCCGGAUUGUUCUUUGUCUCUCUGCGGUGUUUAAACUGUAGGGCGAUCUGGUUGUAGUAGUCGUACUGGGUUCUAAGUUUGCUCACAUGUCGAUGCGAUUACUCGUAGUCUUGGGCAGUAUCCGUCCUGAAGUUCAUAUUAGACGUCAUACAUGGUUCAUCAAUUGUAGUCUUGCGUAUACGAGUCGUAUAUAAUUAAGAUUGAAAAGGUAGUCGAAUAACUGAUUCUUCUUUAAGCUCUUAUUCCUACGAGGAAAAGAAGUUAAAGUGGAACCAUCAAUUCUAACCUUGUAGGACCUUGAUUAUAUAUCACCCCUAUGUAUACACUCUUCAGCGAUAGAUCAACCGUAUGGAUCUUUGGAUUGAACUUAACGUACUGUACGAGUGGUACUUCGGGGAGGUUUGCUGAGGCUUCUUCGGAAAUGAUAAGAAACAUGAGGUACUCUAUGCAUGAGUACUUACGAGUUCUGAAAUGACGGCUUCGCUAAAAAGAAGUUUACUGAGAAAGAGAUGUACUUAUGAAGCUGGUAUUGUGCGGAUCAAAUUGAAUCUAGUCGUAUGGUAAUGUCGGAAUCAUAAGGAAACUUAAAGACAUUAGAUUUGAACAUAAGGCGUUACAGACAAAACACAACCGUGCAACCAUCAACAGAGUUACAAUAGUUUAGACAUACUACAAGACGAUUGCUGUGAACAAGGUAUACUACAAAAGACAAGUAUACGUAGCACGAGCAUCCCUAUACCGACGGGAUCUCGCAAAAGAUAAGACUCUAGUUGCACUAGUUUUGGAUGGUUUAUAAGUCUGUUACAACGAAACGCCUUAAUUAGAUUAACGUGGGUCCAGAGUAGUCUCCCCUGCGGUUGUGAUCCUUAGAAUUCUGCCGUCUGCGCCGGAGUUCUUUAUUAUAGGACAAUCCUUCUUGAAGUGCCCUAUCUCACCGCAUUGGUGGCAUGACUGGCUAGCACUAGCAUUGGUGGUAGGAGUGAGGUGUUUAUCCAGAGUUACGUGGACACGAGUGCCUUCCUCAUUAAUCCACUUUGGAAAUUGCCUCCUAAAGAGUUCGGCAGGAGUUGCCACUUGCUGUUGUUGCAUGAAAAGUCUUUGGGAUCUCUUGCGCUCUUUUUGGGCUUGGCGCUUUCGUUUAUUCUUCUCAGUUUUUUGGCUUUGUAGGUCCGUGACUGUUGUCAUUUGAUGGUUUCCCGGUUUGGUACUACCAUCGGAACUGUCAGUUCCUUCGUCGGGCUUGUUUGCGUUGACAGAGUUGAUGUGUGUAAGGAAAGCUGUCACAGCAGCUGCUACUACAGCUUGUAACAUAGUGGCGUCGAUAUGGAGGAUGGGGGUUUCGUUGUUCGGCUGAUUGUUUCCGGAUGACGACAUGAUUCUGUUAACACGAAAGAUAAGGAUUUUGUGAGCAGUUUUGGUCGACGCUAGAUGCACUUCGACUGCUCAAGUAAAGAGUAAGAGUAUGAUCUCGAAAGUUUGACCUACAUCCCUAUGAUGCAGUACUAGUACAGAUUGAAAGUAUGUUCGCGAAGGUUUGACCUACAUCCCUAUGAUGCAGUCCUAAUACUGAGUGGAAGUAAGUUCGUAGAAUGGUCUCAAGACGUUUGUCGUUAAAGCCGAGGUAUCGUUGGUUGGUGAACAACAUGAUCCAACCACUAAAAGAGACUUGGAAAUGUCUCUGGAGUUAAAUUACUAUAGUCCAAUGUCUUGGCUAAAGCUUGUUUCAGAUAGACUCCAAUGAAAGUAUGAUGAGAGUAUUUAAAUAAAGAAUGACACAGAAGUUAGCCGACUGUCAAUAUCUUUGAUAUUUAUGACGUAAAAGUUCAGGAAAAUGACCUUGUAACAGGUCUUACAUCAUAUCCAGAGUAGAUAGUCCUUGACAGCAUAAAGGCCUAACUAAAGUACUUACAGUACAAGAUAGUUUCAUAGAAAAUGCCACAUUGGGCAUAGACAAAAAACGAUUCCUUUUAACAAGGAAAAUAAAGUAGAGCAUCUACUACUGGCGACGUUCAUCCCUCUGGUGAACUCUUAGUUCAACCAGUUGGCGUUCCACAUCAAGUAGGUGUCUUUCGUACACCCUUUGGUGUACUCGGAGCUCUAUGACUUCGGCUCGUGAUUCAGCCAGUGCUUGCAGCAGGGUUUCACGAUCUCUCUCAGAUCUCUCACGAUCAUCUUCUAGACGAAUGGUGCGGAGGGUAUGCAUUCUCGCAUUGGCGACAACUUCCGUGAUCUGAUGUAGGGCUGUCCUGCCUUGAAUCUCAUUUCGGGCCACUCUGCGGACCAAGAUUGGCAAGAUUCUGUCUGCUGAGCCCCCAUUGCUCAGGUCAUAAAAGCUUCGGUCACCAUUAAAUGGCAUGGGAUGAUCUUGUCCUUGGCUCCAUGUUUCCAAGCAUUCUACCCACUGAGGCGUCGGGCUAUGAAAAGCCGGACGAGGGUUAGGAUUUGGAAAAGGAGCUGCCUGGGGUAGGUUCUCAACCUCUGGUUCGGAGUUAGCACCAUCCGAAAGGUCUUCAUCAUGGUGAUCAUUCAGAGGGAUAGGAUGAUCAAUCUCUGGUUCUUCUCCAAACUAUCCAGCAAUGACUUCGUUUGGAAGGUACGGAUUGCCAUGGGGAUGGAGUCUAGCCAUGUUAUCUACGCGAGAAUUGGGGUAAGAAAUAAUUAUUAGACGAACUAUCUAGAUAAUUAUUUAGAAAAUCUUCAUUAGUUACAUCACUAUUUGUGAAGUGCAUAACAGUUAUAUGUAAUCGAAACAGGAUAGGCCUUUGAAUAAGUGACCUUAACUCCAAAUUCACAAAGAAUAGGGGUAAAGCAAAACUUUCACAGAUUCUAAGUCUAUAACAUCCUAGUUACAUAUAGCCUUAGUGUAUCCACUUAGAAACUAUCAACUUAGUAAUGAAGAUCCCGUUUUAGUUCCCAAGUAUGAAGUACUUACAGUAACACCAAAUACUCCUAUAGUAUUUUAGGUUUUCUGUUCUAUUGUUCUCAUUAUGGUAUUGUUGGUAAGAUUUUAGACUUGUUGCAACUACACAACUACACUUAGGCACAUGCUAGUCAACCUUUGGAUAAUAUAGUUGAACAGGCUAUAUCUUCCCAGAUUUGACUAUAUGUCUCUAAGUCCACCUGUGUUGCCCAACAAUCGUAAUUCUUUUGUACUGUCCUAGUGACACUGAUUUUAGUAUGAAUGCAGGCACGUAUACUUAAUUAAAUAUUUUAUUAUUUAAAGUAUAAACUCUUGGUUAGAGUAUUUUAAUCCCAUUUUAUUUAUAGUCUAUAUAUCUUUUAUGGGUUGAUAUACUUAAUUCACUAUAAACAAUGCUCUGAUACCAAUCUGUCACACCCCAAAAGCAUGAACGACGGAAACGUUCUGGGGCGGAGGACGUCAUGUAAAGUAUCACAACAAUGAAAAGUAGUAAACAAGCAACACCAUCAUCCAUUGCAUUAAUAAUAUAAUUUUUAAUACAAGUGUGUUCUGUCAAAUUAUGAUAAACACUAGAGUAUAAAUCAAAAUGAAAGAUGAGUCUUGAACGAGCACCAUCUUCUCUAAACCUUGCAUCAGUAUCUGUCUAUUGUUGACCUGAGGAUACAAGUUAUUUUGAAAGAGAGUAUCAACUUUAAAGCUGAUGAGAUCAUAAGUAUUUUAGCGUCUUAGUUUGUAUGUAAGUAUUUGUAUGUAUGUGAAAUGUAAGUAUUUGUAUGUAUAUAAACUGUAAGUAUGAAACGUUUUGAACAUCCUAGAAAACCAUAUGUUUCCUACUAAAAGUAUCCUUCUACCAAGGCAUCCAGUAUCCGUGUGUGUGUCUCUUGUAAGAGUGUAUAUUUUCCCAAAUCCGACUAUCAUUAUUCAAAAUAUUGAUGGGUUUUAGCUAUAAGAACAUCCUAUGUGCUCAUACAAACCCUAAUGAUUGGAUCUAGGUUUCUCUAUUGUAAAUGCAAUUCAUCCAAGACUUCAAACCCUAGAUCUAAUAUAUGAUAAUCAAUACAACAUAAGAAUUAGGGUUUAGAUCAUACCUUGAUUGUUAUGUAGUAAUAACAAUCUCAAAUCCUUCUUGUAAUGACUUUAGAAAGCUUAGAGUCACAAAUGUCACUCCUCUAAUGGUUCACAAACACCAAGAGCAAGAGGAUGAAGAAGAGAAGAGAAGGAGGCUGCCCAAAACGUGUGGAAACCCUAGAGAACAAGUUCACCACGUUUUUGGGGCUUAGGCCCUAAUUUGGAUGCUUAGGCCCUAAGCAACCCAUGAACCCCUGUUUAAUAAGCCUUGGACGAUUUCUAAUGAGUUUCCCCAUAGAUCAUCCAACCUUAUAUUAUAAGGUAAUCCAUAGCCCAAUUGCAAUUAUCUUAUAAUUACAAUUCCAGUCCCUUAAGUUUAAUUAAUCUCUUUUAGCCACAAACUUAAUUCUUAUUAAUUCUUGACACUACUAGAAAAUAGCCCUUUAAUGACGCGCAAACAAUGACACUCGCUGAUAGAGGACGCGCAUUUGUGAGUGCCCUAAAAAAUAAUGUCAAUUUUGCAAAAUUUAAAAGAUUUUGGACACGCAUUUUUGCAUGCUUUAAAAUUAGUGUGUAAAAAAAACAAGGAGGGCGCCUAUAAUAAAAUGCGCGUCGUCUAAGACCGUCUUUUUAUAAAUUUUAAUAUAACGCGGGCGUUCCAUCCGGGUAAAACGAAAUACCAAAAACUUAAAAACCCCGCCUUCCCGUUUUUUUCUCCUUCGCUUUAGUUUCCCUCUUUGUAAUAGCUAGGGUUUUUUUCAAGAACUUGCCCCGGUAGGGAGGGGGUUCGAAACACGAUUGGGAACAGUGGGUUAAGAAGCACCGACAGGGAGCAACGAUCAAAAUGAAAUCAUAGCAGCAACAGGUGGUGGUGAUCGGAGAUUCUCAACAAAUGUAGUGGUGGUCGAUGAAUGGAGAUGCGAUAGCAGGUUGCUGCCCUUCUCUUUUCUUUUCUGGCGAUGGUCAAUGAGGAGAAAGGACGACAGAGGGAAGGGAAGAUUGGCACCGGUGAUGGAGGGGACAACCAAUCACAACAGCGGCGACAACGAGGUGGUGGGUGGUAACGGUUGACUUGCGGUAGCGACUCUGCUGCCUUGUUUUAUUUUGUGUCUGUAACACUCGACAGGGAGAUGAUGUAGAGUAGGAGGAAGACUGUCAGAGGUUGGAACAGAGUCAGCGAUCUCCGACUUCUUGUUGGGCUUUUUCCGGUGAUAGGGAAUCUCAAACGACACAGUUGUUGUCAGAAUGAAGAAAGUGAGAAACAACAAAUCGAGUGGGUGUUUGGGGACUUGCGUAACAGCAAGAGGGGAAGAAGAUGGUGUGUGUGUGUGUGUGGGGGGGGGGGGGGGGGGGGGGGGCCCCCCCUCCCCCUGACCCUAUAUAUGCUCCGUCCAUGCUNCCCACCUCUCUGGCACUUUCCAGUGAGACCCAACUGGUGGAUUCCCUCCUCUCUAACAGUCUUAGACGAGAUCUGGCGACUCCCAAGACUUCCCAGCAGUGUCACCGACAAUUCUUCGCCGUAAUUAAACCCUUGUGUCGAUGCUCCGUUCUCUAUCACUGGAAGCCAACGAAGUUGCCAUGCUCGCCUUUCUUAACCUCUCUGUUAUGGAUGAAACGUAUGUUUGUUUAUAUUUCUUUUUUUACUUUGAAACUAUGAUCAUGAUGAUGAUGAGCUUCACUUUGUGUUCAAUCGUUUUAUUUUCUUAUCGUUGCAUAUUUUUUGGAUGAUUCAAAAAUAUUUGGAAAAAGAAAAAGGAAUCAAAGCUUUUUUGAAAGUGUGUUUUGUGGUCUCUGUUUUAUCGUUGAUCUUUUUUUUCCAAUUGGUUAACAGAAAAGAAAACAAUUUGACUCAGUUAAUUAAAUUAGUGUUUGUUCUUAUUGAUAAAAAAUCCAUAUAUUGUUUCUAUAAAUUAAACAAUAUACACAUGUUUUUUUAUUGGAAGUGUUUAGUUUUAUGAGUAGUUAUGUUCUUGCUUAGAUAAACAAUGUUCUCUUGUUCAUAAGAUUCCCUACUAGGAUAUUUCAUUGGUGGUUUUAAAAUUCUUGGAAGAAGUUAAAAUGAAUUAGAAUUUGAAAAGUUUUUGUGGACUUUUCAGAACAGAGAACAUCAGCAGCAGCAGAGAACAUAGAACAACAACAGCAGGGGUAUUUUUGGAACAGAAGCUGGGAGUUGAUGUUUACCCACUACUAGAAAAAUAGCCUUUUACGAUGUGCAAUUUACGACACGCACUGAUUUAUGUUACGCAAAAGAGAGCGCCCUUAAAAUAGCGUCAUCUCUUCAAAAAUUUUAAGGAUUUACGUCACGCAUUAUUGCGUGCCCUUAAUUUAGUGUCUAAAGAAAAAAAAUUUAAAAAUACGGAGGGCGCUUUAUCUUAAACGCGCGUCAUCUGUAAGUGUCGCUUUAUAAUUUUAAUGAAACGUGCGUUUAAUAGACAAGGGGGGAAACGAAAUCCCUAAAAUUUUGAAACCCCGCCUCGUUCUUUCUACAUUUUACCUAUCUUUCAUCUUGAAUUCGCAAUCGACUCUCCUCUCUGAUACUUUCUCCUCUAGAUCUCCCUUUAUUUUCUACCUCCCGUCUCCCUGUAAACCCUAAGCCAUCGCCACCUCCUUUCUCUCUAGCACGUGCUAGGGUUUUAUUUUCUUCCAAGCUUCCGCUUCCCUGGAACUGGCGUUUUUUUUUUUUUUUUUUGACUUUUUUCGAUUUCUUUGGAACUAGCGUUUCACUUGGGUUUCCUUUCAGCAAGUCGUUAACCUUGGCUUUGCAGAUUGGGAGACGUUUCCUCUGAAUCCACACAGCAUAUGAGGUAUUCACGACCACCUUCAGGAACCCUACCAACAGGAUUUUCUCGCCGACCGAUCGAAGCUAUUCUUCUAGCUCCUCUGAUCUCAUUCGCGCCACUCUCUUCCCUGGCGACGGUAUUGGUCCCGAGAUCGCAACCUCUGUCAAACAGGUUCAAUUCCGCCUUCUUUAUACUCAAUAUAUUGCUAAAACCUGAAGGUUUUUUAAUGACGAAGAUGAAGGGUGUGGAUUUAAGAGGAUCACGAUUGAGUUUGAUUGGCUCAUCAGAUGCCGAGGGGAGUGGUGAUGAUGAUGAAGGGAAGGGGAAUGGGAAGAAGAAGAUGAUGAGCAGUGCUACAUUGGGAAAAUAUGAUAUAAAGAAGAAAAAAGGAUACCAUUGAAAUUCUUGGAAGAGGAGGAUGAUUUGUCUCUAUAUGUACAGGCUAUUAGGAAUGAGUUCAAUAAGAGGCGUAUGGCUGAAAAAGGCAUUGGAGUGGGUGAUGAUGACUCCAUCCUUAGUCCAAAGAGGUUUGCAUUUUGGUUUUCUUGAUGUAAUGGAACUGCUAAAUCUGAUAAUGUUGUAAUUUUGGGCAAAUCAUAAUGGUUAUAAGGUUCAUAGGCUUUAUGUUGACAAUCGCUUUGGGGUUGUUCUUUUUUCAAGUUUGAUGAGUGCAAUAUCUGCUUGCCUCGAAGGUAUGAUUUUUGUUUGUGUAAUGUUUUACUCAUUAACUUGUUAUGUCUCAAUCUAAUUUCUUCCUGAUAAGGAACGAUGCUUUGGUCAAAGCUAAAACCGGAACAGGGAAAAGUGUUGCUUUUUUGGUAUGCUAAAAUCUGAAUUCUUGAUUACAUUCAGCUUGUUACUUUCUUGUGCUUUUUAUAUUUGGCUAUGCAAUAUUGUUAAACACAAACCACUCCCACAAUUGUAACAGUUUUAAAGGCUUCAGCUAGCAAUGAGAGAAAAUGGGUCCUACCAAUAUGUGUUCUUAUUGUUUGUCCCACAAGAGAACUAGCAAGGAAGGCACAGCUACAUCUGUAUGUAAAGCUCUUGAUGAGGUGGCAGAUAUCUCUGUGCCAGGUGUGCAACUAAGAAAAGAGCAUGGAUAGAUAGAUGGAAACACUAAUGUAUCUAGACAAUAAGUAUGACUAUAUACAAUAUAGAAUCCUAAAACAUAUGCAAUGUUGAAUGAUUAUAGGAUCAAUAGACCACAUAUAGGUGCCGGGUGAGAUUUUGGAGGGUGAGAUUUUGCAGGGUGAGAUUUUGUAAGCCAUGAAAGCACAAAACAAAUGGAGCUUGCUUUACAAGAUUACCCUUCACCCAUAGAGGAAGGUUUGCUACCCUUUUCACCUAAUUUCAUUUAUAUAUUUUGUUUUCUAUACAUUAUCAUUUAUUUUUCUUUUGCUUAUGUGGCAGUUGAUUAAGAUUUAGGACCAGGUCUAAGGGAAAUAUGUGCUGCAAAUAGAUCUGAUGAGAAACAAGUAAUCUUUAAUCUUUUAAUCUCUUUUUAAUACUUUAUAGAGACUUUUAAUAAUCUUGAUAUACAAUGCAGCAAAUAAAGACACUUCUUGAAAAUGUUGGGAAAUCUUUUUGUCCAAAUUAUGUGGAUUGGUUUGGAUUUGAAGCUGCUGAUAUACCUCCAAGAAGUGCUAAUAAAUUAGUUGUUUCCAAAUUUCUACAAACAAAUCCUUCUGAUCAUACUACCUUUAAAUUAAAGGUAAUCCAAACUCUUUUAUCAAAUUUCAGUAUAAAUAACACACAAACAAUAUUUUAAUUGCAUGAUAUAUUUUUUUUUAUUCAGGAAAUGGUCAGAUUGAUGAAAGAAAAACGUUUUCCUGUUGCUUUCAAGUGUUACUAUAAUUUCCACCAAAUUAAUUCAAUAUCUAGUGAUAAUCUUCAUUAUAAAAUGGUGAUCCAUGUGCAUAGUGAUUCAACCUUCAGGAGAUACCAAAAAGAGAUGAGAUUCAAGCCAGAUUUAUGGCCACUAUAUCGACGUUUUUUUGUUGAAAUUAAUCUGUUCAAGGCAAGUAAAGAGAAAUCCGCAGAGAUUUCCAAAAAUACCCCCGACAUUGGAAAAAAUUACAAAGAUGGCAAUGAAACAUCUACAAAAAACAGUUUAGCAGAUGACGAUGCAAAUCUAAUGAUCAAGCUGAAAUUUCUUACAUAUAAGGUACUAUAUAUAUAUUAUCCACUAGUUAUGUGGUCGAAAUUACUUUUAUACCCUUCUGACAUAAUUCAGUUAUGACUUAUGACACAGCUGCGAACUUUCUUGAUUCGCAACGGGUUGUCGAUUCUUUUCAAAGAAGGUCCAAUUGCCUAUAAAACCUACUACCUCAGGUAACCUUCACACAUAAGGGCAUUUAUGUCAUUUUGAUAUCAUUGUGUCAUAAUCAGACCAAAUUGCAUGAUGUAGGCAAAUGAAGAUAUGGAAUACAUCACCAGGAAAGCAGAGACAACUCAGUAAGAUGUUGGAUGAAUGGUAAUGAAGGAAGAAGGAUUUAGUAUUUUUUUUAAUAAGAAAAGAAUUUAUAAAUUAUAUAAAUUUUUAGGGCAGUGUACAUAAGAAGGAAAUACGGGAACAAAUAGCUGCCAUCAUCAAUCUACUUGAGUGAAGCUGAGCCUUUUCUUGAACAAUAUGCCCCUAAUGAAGAAGUAUGGAGGCAUGUAACUUUUUCUCUUCUUUCCUUCAUCUGCUGUACCAAUUGUUCCAGAUUUCGAAGGUUCUUAUUUUAUUAUUUAUUAUAUAUUAUUUUUUUUAUAAAUGGAUAUAAAUUUGAUUGGUUUUUAUUUAAAUUUUUUGUAGGAAGUGAAUCAAAUCCAUUUUCUCUUGAUGCAGUAGCAGUUUUCAUAUAUCGUGUAGUCAACCGAGUCAAUCACCCUGUAGUUAAAGUGUUCUACAACAAUACUUUUC
rnacentral:lncRNA from 1 species